rnacentral:lncRNA from 1 species
CUUUUUAAGUAAAUGGAUUUUUAAAAAAUCAAGCCAAACAAGUAUGCCAAUGUGAAUUUUUAAAAAUUUGAUUUUGAAACAUGCAUUUUCUAUCUUGCUGCAGUUUAAAGAUAGAAUUUACACCAUAUGGCCCAUCAGUAAUGCAGCAUAAGAAACUGCAUCUGUAUUCCUCAAUAAAUAAGAGUUUGUGGAGGUUCUGAUUGGCUUUUUUGUAGUCCCCCAUAGAGAGGAAGAGCCAGUUAACCUGUUGCUAAGCAACAGUGCUUCAUAGACCAGAACUUCUGGACACCAAAGAGAGGGUAGGGGUAUGAAUUGUCCAAAUUUACAAAGGGAAAGAGAGGGCGCAGUGCACAAAUGAAUAGAGAUCCAGGAAGCCACCUUUUGAAAACUAAGCAGAGGCAAUUCAAGUGAGUAUUGCAGAAAUAAACCAAAGGCCCAGUUCUUAAGUUCUUCCAUGCACAUAACACCCAUUGAACUCGAAGGAGUUCUGCAUGUGUGAGGGCCAAAAGAUUAACCCCAAAAUAACUCAAUGAAA